rnacentral:tRNA from 1 species
GGUCCCGUAGCUCAUCAGGAUAGAGCGACAGAUUCCUAAUCUGUAGGUAGUGAGUUCGAGUCUCGCCGGGAUCACCA